rnacentral:rRNA from 1 species
GACGAACGCUGGCGGCGUGCUUAACACAUGCAAGUCGAACGGAAAGGCCCUGCUUUUGUGGGGUGCUCGAGUGGCGAACGGGUGAGUAACACGUGAGUAACCUGCCCUUGACUUUGGGAUAACUUCAGGAAACUGGGGCUAAUACCGGAUAGGAGCUCCUGCUGCAUGGUGGGGGUUGGAAAGUUUCGGCGGUUGGGGAUGGACUCGCGGCUUAUCAGCUUGUUGGUGGGGUAGUGGCUUACCAAGGCUUGGCCGGGUAGCCGGCCUGAGAGGGUGACCGGCCACAUUGGGACUGAGAUACGGCCCAGACUCCUACGGGAGGCAGCAGUGGGGAAUAUUGCACAAUGGGCGGAAGCCUGAUGCAGCAACGCCGCGUGCGGGAUGACGGCCUUCGGGUUGUAAACCGCUUUCGCCUGUGACGAAGCGUGAGUGACGGUAAUGGGUAAAGAAGCACCGGCUAACUACGUG